GUACGCCCCGAUCCAGCCGUUGAGUGCCCUCUGGAAAAACCCCUACCCCGGCGAAUAUCACCUCUGUCGACAGGUGUCACCGACAAAAGCAGGCCAAGUGGGUUCGAACUCGUAAUUUGCCUGCCAAGACGACGACGCUCGCCAAGCAAAGCAAAUCCGACGGCUGAAUGGACGUGAAACAAAGGAAAGCAGUGCAAAGAAGAGUUUAAGAUUCUUCGAGUGUGGGUGUGUUAAAUUCAGUUGCUUUUUCAAGCGGGCGGUUGGAGAUAGUGUAUAGUGUCGGAGGAAAAGUGCGAAAAAGUACUACUCUAUUCUUUUAACGUCAUCCGGAGUUGGGAUCCGUGUUUUUCGUUGAGGGUUGAGGGUGAAGCACAGUGCAGGCAGGUGAAAAUCGAAGCGAGUUGGUUUUCUGCCGGCGAGGAAAACAGAAACCAUAGCAGAGCGAGCACGGAGAGGAGGCGUCCCGUCGACGACGGCGAUUGUUGAUUAAAUUUAAGGCCCGGCCAGAGAGAUUAUGCACCGCAGCUGAGCCAUCCGAGCGAUCCAAUCCAAUCCAGCACCCAAGAUCAGACAGAGCCAGACAAAGAGAGGGACAGCAGCAAGAAAAUGACAUCUUCCACCGGCGGCCCACGACGCCGAAGCGGCAGCAGCAGCUGUAGGACAAACCUCAACGGAAAGAGCACCCGCAGCAGAAGCACCUUCACAGCAAUGUCAAAGAGGAGGAAAAUUGUUUACGGCUGGUUUAAUUUCAUCUUCUUAUGCUGGAUAAUGCUCACCGAACAGUUCGUUAGCGGUA